AAUCCGCGUAGCACAGAAAUGUCCCGGAGUAGUGUGUAAAAAUAUGUCUUCAGCGACAACAAAAACUCUACUGAAAUCCAAUCGACCUUCUUUGUUUCAAAAAAACUCCCCAGUUGCUUCCUGAAAAUUUUCCCCUCCACCUCAAAAACCUCCCCACAGGGAAUGAUCUCAUCAGGGUUCAUGAAAUUGAUUUGACUGCUGCAUGUUUUCCUAAAUGUGGCCUGAAACUUCACUGAUCUUGUGAUAGAAAGCACAGAGAGCUCGUUUCACAAGAUCAAAUGAAAAUUUGUCGAAGAACAUACUAAAAAAAAAAAAGAAAAAGAAGGGAAGACAUCAUUUCUGUGUUGCUUUCUUUUUGCUUGAUCAUUUUCAAACUUUCCAUCACAGCAUGAGGUUGCCUGGUCUCAAGCCGAGCUCAGUCUGUGUCGUUUUUCAUAACAAUGUAGAUUGUCUUAACACAGAUGUCGGCAUCGCUUGAAAAUCCUGAUUUAAAGACGCUCCAAUUAAAGUCUGUCUUUUAAAAUACCCAAUGCAAACGUACUUUAAAAAAUAUUGGUUUUUAAUCAUGAAAUCUGGUCGCUUUCAAAAACCGGCUGAUUUGCAUUAUACCGUCCACACAAAUGCAGCCACCUGUCAAGCCUGUUGGAUAUUUAAAAAUACAUACUUUGAUCGGAGCUUUGCUCGGAAAGUGCAAAACACACUUCCACCAUAUGACGCACACCACGACGCCCCUACACACCCCGCGCACAUGGACGCGCCGCUGAGUAACGGCUCAUACCUCGGUCUUGUUCUCCCCACAGUCAGGCUCCCAGGAGGAGCAUGUGUGGAGAACGCAUCUCCCAGCUGGUGCAUGUCCACGUCCUCAGCUGUCGCUGCUAGUUUGGCUUAGCUUCUCAUCGUCUCGCAGCUAUAAUGGACGAGGAGAGACUCAUUACGGGCCGCGAAUAAUUCAGAGCCCGUGUCACAAAAGCGAUCGUUUCGGAAAGCCGUGCAGUCGCAGAGCUCUGCAAACCGUUUACUUUUUAAAUGUACAACGAACGUCGCCCUGUCCGUUUUGCGUCCGCCCGCGUCGGGCUUUCACAUGACACAUCAGCUGACAGCCAGCUGCGUGGUGGCGGCAGUGUGAUUUGUGCUGUAGACUAGAGUACAGUAUGCUUGGGUAUCUGUGGCAUCUCUUCACAGCUGUCUUUAAAAAAAAUAAAUGAUUAGCAGCCUUAUUGAAUCGCCUCUCUGUAGGUCUGAUAAAACAAACUGUUCCUGUGGCGGGCUUUUGGGUGUACGAGGAAACGGCUGCUAAUUGUUUCGCUGUCCUGUUCAGUUUGUCCGUCCAAUGUGUCUGUCUGUAAUGACCAUACAACAGCUGCAUUUCAUCUGGGAUCAGUGCGACAAAUGUUCCAAAUGCUAUUUGGGGCGAGCAUGAUGAAGUGACAGGAAGCAUGUUUUCAUUACCAUAGUCGAGGUGAGAUUUUUCAUUUUGGUCAGAGAACCAGCAAAAUCCUGUGCUGUGUUUUCAGAUGUGUGAUGCUGAUUGAUAACCUGAAUUAAUUAGCAGUUAAUCUGAAAGUGUCUUUAGUUCUUUGGCGCACUCUCUCUCUCUCUAACUGGUCAGAUGCUGUCAUUUCUGGUUGAAGAGUUGAACAUCAUUAGCAUUCUGAUCUAGCAGUACUGCUUGUUGGAGAUUAUAUUUUACAUAGAUAUCUUGGUUAGUGAGCAGUUUUAGACUUUUUAUUUACUGUUCCAAUGUCUGAAAACUCGUGAUUUCACAAAAACCUGACUGAGUCCAAUCUUUUCUACUGUAGAUGUUGCACUUUUUUCUUGUUUGGUGGACACUUAGCAACUACUCUGUGUAAAAGUAGGAAUGUGCCAGUUUGAUAUUCUCACUGUACGAUACCUUUGUGUAAAAAAACACAAUAGUGUAAGUCACAGUAUUGAGCAAUAAUGUUACCUCAAAGCUGUUUUUAAUGUCUUUGACAAUGUUGUUGUACUCUUUUCAGGUUUGAAUACAACAUACGGGUACAUCUGCAAAAAUCAGAAAACAUAUUAAAAAGUUCCUUCAUCUCGUGUAUUGGCAAUGCUCAGAACGAAGUAUUUUAAGUCUCAACUACUAAUAAAACUGAGUUUUAUCACAGAAGUCUAUGGUGAAGACUACUGACAAAACAGUUGUCUGGACAUUUCCAGGGAGUUCAAGCCACUAAACAAGCUAGCUGUUCUGUGUUUGGUCUCCUCAGCGUAUUAAUGGAAAGUUUCAAGUAGAAACUCAUUUGAAUUUGGAAAAAGUUGCACAAGCAGCAGGGAUAAUUGCAUGCUUAGGGGGCUGUGAAGCAAAUCACAUUUAAUAGUUAAGGUCAGGUUUCAUGGUUUUAUUGUUAUGCACUUUAAUCUCCUUAUUUCAAUGUUUUAAAGUGCUUUUUAUGAAUCAAAUGAAAAGAUUAAUAAACUCUGGCAAUAUAUCACUUUCUGCAAUGAAUCUACAUAAUGUAUAAGUUUCACUUUCUGAAGUACUAAAAUAAAAUAAUUAUGAUAAUAUUCUAGUUCAUUGAGAUGCGCCUGUAGACCAUAAUUAUUCUUUUGCUUUGGCAGAUUUAGAUUUAAAGUAUUAUCUUUCAAAUUUUCCAAGACGUUUUCAACGUUUUGAUGAAACUCAGCAAUAUUAAGGAUUUGAUUUCUGUAAUUCCGAAGAACAUAUUUUAAUUGAUUUUUGCAGGAGCUCGAAAUAACUUUUCAUGCUGUUUUUUGAUCAAAUGUGAUUAAAAAGGCAACAUGUUGCAUUGUUUUAUUGCAAUUUCAACAGAAUCCUCUCUCCUUUUCUUACCAUAAACAAAACGUCUUGGUUGAAUGCCAAGGAUUUAUAACUACAUCUGCCAGAGUCAUGAAUCAUUUUGGGCUUAACUGCACCUAAAACCCGUAUUGACACAGUUUACUUUAUUAAUAACUAAUUCCAUAAACAAAAUAACUCAUUUAUUGCAUAUUUAGUGGAAGACUACCUCACAUUUGCCUCCCCUAGUGUAUGCAAAUCUAACAUAUAGUAAAUGUGACACGUCUUCAUUUGAGUCGCUUCCUUUUCUGCUUGGAAUUCAAAGGUUAGCGUAAGAAACCAAUGGUAACCCACUCAAGAUAUAGGCGGGGAACAAAACAUUGUCCCACAGCCAUUUAAGAAGAAGCACAGUGUGAGAAUUGAGGAUUACUGUUCUGUUCACUGACUGAAAGAGGAUAAAAGAACCAUGUUAAAAAAAAAACAAAACGUGGACUUGUGGGAGUUUACCAGCUUAGUUACAUUUCAGAGU